rnacentral:siRNA from 1 species
AACCAAUUCCUUGUUGUAUGUACU